rnacentral:tRNA from 1 species
GCCCUGGUAGCUUAGUAUCAAAGCAUCGGUCUUGUAAGCCGAGGAUUGGAGGUGUGAGUCCUCCCCAGUGCC